CGACUUACGUUGAAAAGUGAGCGGAUGAGUUGAGGGUAGCGGAGAAAUUCCAAUCGAACCUGGAGAUAGCUGGUUCUCUCCGAAAUAGCUUUAGGGCUAGCCUCAAGUGAUGAUUAUUGGAGGUAGAGCACUGUUUGGAAGAGGGGCCCUUCUCGGGUUACCGAAUUCAGACAAACUCCGAAUGCCAAUCAAUUUAACUUGGGAGUCAGAACGCGGGUGAUAAGGUCCGUGUUCGAAAGGGAAACAGCCCAGACCACCAGCUAAGGUCCCAAAAUAUAUGUUAAGUGGAAAAGGAUGUGGCGUUGCCCA
rnacentral:rRNA from 1 species